rnacentral:rRNA from 1 species
AAUGAACGCUGGCGGCGCGCCUAAUACAUGCAAGUCGAGCGAGAAGACGUAGCAAUACGUUUGUAAAGCGGCGAACGGGUGAGGAAUACAUGGGUAACCUACCCUCGAGUGGGGAAUAACUAGCCGAAAGGUUAGCUAAUACCGCGUACGCUCCUUGGACUUCGGUUCAGGGAGGAAAGCGAUACCGUGGGUAUCGCGCUCUUGGUUGGGCUCAUGUCCUAUCAGCUUGUUGGUGAGGUAACGGCUCACCAAGGCUUCGACGGGUAGCUGGUCUGAGAGGACGAUCAGCCACACUGGCACUGCGACACGGGCCAGACUCCUACGGGAGGCAGC